rnacentral:misc_RNA from 1 species
AAGUCGUAACAAGGUUUCCGUAGGUGAACCUGCGGAAGGAUCAUUAUCCAUUACACCAUAUACCUGUGUGCACUGUGACAACCCCACUGCCUUGGGGGCCUAAUCGCUGUUGGCGAUAUUGACUGUCUGCUGAAGGCGGUCGGGGUCCCCGAGGUAUGGUCUUUAUUACUUUUACUUUAUAGAAAACCAAACCAGGUCUCUCUUAGAGUGACCCCAAAGUAAAUACAACUCUCAGCAAUGGAUCUCUCGGCUCUU